UACGAACGAGACUCUAUCCUACUAAGCGGCAAAGGCUAUUAGACGACUGGAUCUUUGAAACACGUGCGUAAAAACUGACGGAGAUGUUUUGCACCUGCUGCUGUCUUGCUUUCUCGCGCGUGAGUGUGCGCAUGCUUCUUCUCGAGCUCAGCAUCCGUCGUGGCUGCGCGUUGAGUUCGGGAUACGCGUGUGUGCUUUGCCUAUGACACGAUGAAGGAUUAACGCGGCUUCUUCGGAUUUCGCGCGCGACUCGGUCUUGGCUUCGCGCGUCGCGCUCUUGCGCGUAGACAAACGUUGUUUCUUCUUAGAGGUAUUGGCGACUCUACAUAAGUCGUACGAGAGAGAGAGCAAUAACAGGUCUGUGAUGCCCUUAGAUGCCCUGGGCCGCACGCGAGCUACAAUGCCGGGUACAGCGGGUAUAACUUCCUUCUCCGAGAGGAGCGGGUAACCCUCUGAAAGCCCUUCCGAUACGUAUAUACUCUCACGUUAUACGCAUCUCGGCUCGCUUGGGCCUGGGGCUUGCAACUAUCUCCCACAAACGAGGAAUGCCUUGUAUUGACAGGUCACUGAGCUUGUAGCGACUCAGUCCCUGCCCUUUGUACACACCGCCCGUCGCUACUACCGAUUGAGUGUAUCAGUGAGAUUCUUGGACUGGCGAACCAUUUCCCUAUCUGCCUUCGUGGCAGUCCUGGGGAGACGGCGAACGACGGGAAGAGACUCGAACUGAUGCACUUAGAGGAAGUAAAA
rnacentral:rRNA from 1 species